rnacentral:ncRNA from 1 species
UCGGGGGCAGGGUGAAAUUCCCGACCGGCGGUUAUAGUCCGCGAGCCUGAAAGGGUUGAAUCGGCGCAAUUCCGAUACCGACAGUAUAGUCUGGAUGGAAGAAGAUG